CGAAGGAGCGGGGGCCCCCGGAGCAGGGUCCGGCGGCUAGUAAGCGGAGGAGCGCGGUGCUGGAGCUGCAGGGCAUCCUGGGUGCCGUGAGGAGGGCGAGCGGGCGGCGGAGCAGCGCGAAGGGCAGGGACGGGCAGCUGGAAUUCAUCUUGCAGCGCCGGCGCCGGGCGCUGGAUGCCACCCUGGGCCCCCCCGGCCCCCCCCGCAGGACCGUGAGGAUGCUGGGGCUGCGGGGAGGCCGGGUGCUGGGGACAAGGACGUCGACACGGCUCCGUCCAGCUGCUCACCAGGGAGCGGGGACGGGGUCCCGUUCCGACCCCGGGCGGUGGGUGGUCUCCCCAGGACCCGGCCCUUCACCCGCCCGGCCGGGGGCAGGGGGGGGCUGGGGUAGAGCCCCCCCCCCCCCUGCCCUUUACUUGGCGGAGACGGCUGCUGCAAGCUCUCACCCUCAUCUUCCAGCAGCUCCCAUCCUCUCGUGUUUUAAUUAAAAAGAGGUGGCACCGG